GGAAGGGUGCCGGAGCGGCCAAUCGGCCAGGUCUCGAAAACCUUGGGUCCUGCAAAGGACACGUGAGUUCGAAUCUCACCCCUU
rnacentral:tRNA from 1 species